GCUGGAUUAGCUUAGUGGUCAAGCGCUGCCUUCGUAACGCAGAUUCACCGGUUCGAUUCCGGUAUCCAGCUC
rnacentral:tRNA from 4 species